GUAGUCCUGGCUGUAAACGAUGCAGGCUAGGUGUUAGAUGGGCGUUAGUGCCCAUCUAGUGCCGCAGGGAAGCCGUUAAGCCUGCCGCCUGGGGAGUACGGCCGCAAGGCUGAAACUUAAAGGAAUUGGCGGGGGGGCACACAAGGGGUGGAGCCUGCGGCUCAAUUGGAGUCAACGCCGGGAACCUCCACCGGGAGCGACAGCAGGAUGACGGCCAGGCUAACGACCUUGCCCGACACGCUGAGGGGAGGUGCACGGCCGUCGCCAGCUCGUGCUGUGAAGUGUCCUGUUAAGUCAGGCAACGAGCGAGACCCCCGCCCUUAGUUGCUAUCCCAUAGGAGACUAUGGGGGCACACUAAGGGGACUGCCGCCGCUAAGGCGGAGGAAGGAGGGGGCCACGGCAGGUCAGCAUGCCCCUAAACUCCCGGGCUGCACGCGGGCUACAAUGACGGGGACAGCGGGUUCCGACCCCGAAAGGGGAAGGCAAUCCCUGAAACCCCGCCGUAGUUGGGAUUGAGGGCUGCAACUCGCCCUCAUGAACCUGGAAUCCCUAGUAACCGCGCGUCAUCAUCGCGCGGUGAAUACGUCCCUGCCCCUUGUACACACUGCCCGUCGCUCCAUCCGAGAGAGGGGAAGGUGAGGCCCCUUCCUCCAGGGAAGAGGUCGAACCUUCCCCUCUCGAGGAGGGAGAAGUCGUAACAAGGUAGCCGUAGGGGAACCUGCGGCUGGAUCACCUCC
rnacentral:rRNA from 1 species